AGCGAACGCUGGCGGCAGGCCUAACACAUGCAAGUCGAACGAGCCCUUCGGGGUUAGUGGCGGACGGGUGAGUAACACGUGGGAACGUGCCUUUAGGUUCGGAAUAACUCAGGGAAACUUGUGCUAAUACCGAAUGUGCCCUUCGGGGGAAAGAUUUAUCGCCUUUAGAGCGGCCCGCGUCUGAUUAGCUAGUUGGUGAGGUAAUGGCUCACCAAGGCUACGAUCAGUAGCUGGUCUGAGAGGAUGACCAGCCACAUUGGGACUGAGACACGGCCCAAACUCCUACGGGAGGCAGCAGUGGGGAAUUUUGCGCAAUGGGCGAAAGCCUGACGCAGCCAUGCCGCGUGGAUGAUGAAGGUCUUAGGAUUGUAAAAUCCUUUCACCGGUGAAGAUAAUGACUGUAGCCGGAGAAGAAGCCCCGGCUAACUUCGUGCCAGCCGCCGCCGUAAAAC
rnacentral:rRNA from 1 species